UACGUAGGGGGCAAGCGUUGUCCGGAUUUAUUGGGCGUAAAGAGCGUGUAGGCGGCUUGGUAGGUCUGCUGUGAAAACUCGGGGCUCAACCCCGAGACGUCGGUGGAAACCACCUGGCUAGAGUCCGGAAGAGGAGAGUGGAAUUCCUGGUGUAGCGGUGAAAUGCGCAGAUAUCAGGAGGAACACCGAUGGCGAAGGCAGGUCUCUGGGCCACUACUGACGCUGAGAAGCGAAAGCAUGGGGAGCGAACAGG
rnacentral:rRNA from 1 species